rnacentral:rRNA from 1 species
AGCAGUAGCCACGGUAAUACGUAGGGUCCGAGCGUUGUCCGGAAUUAUUGGGCGUAAAGGGCUCGUAGGCGGUUUGUCGCGUCGGGAGUGAAAGCCAGCAGCUUAACUGCUGGUCUGCUUUCGAUACGGGCAGACUUGAGGCAUUCAGGGGAGAACGGAAUUCCUGGUGUAGCGGUGAAAUGCGCAGAUAUCAGGAGGAACACCGGUGGCGAAGGCGGUUCUCUGGGAAUGUUCUGACGCUGAGGAGCGAAAGUGUGGGGAGCGAACAGGAUUAGAGACCCCUGUAGUCCCUGUCUCUUAUAC